ACACGACUACAUUAGAUACCCCGGUAGUCCUAGCCGUAAACGAUACUCGCUAGGUGUCGGCCACGGUGCGACCGUUGUCGGUGCCGUAGGGAAGCCGUGAAGCGAGCCACCUGGGAAGUACGGCCGCAAGGCUGAAACUUAAAGGAAUUGGCGGGGGAGCACCACAACGGGUGGAGCUUGCGGUUUAAUUGGAUUCAACGCCGGAAAACUUACCGGGACCGACAGCAACAUGAAGGCCAGGCUGAAGACUUUGCCGGAUUAGCUG
rnacentral:rRNA from 1 species